UUGGCUCUGGUUUUGUUUUGGACUUAAAAUAUUUACAUUCAUAUUUACAGCAUUUGGCAGACGCCCUUAUCCAGAGCGACUUACAGAAGUGCUUUAAAGAAUCUGUCAAUACACACACACCCUCAUACUGGUUCAGUAGGUUAGGGACUAAGAGUACUAACAGUCUAAAAACCUUGUUGGGGAAGUAGUAUAGUAUUUUUUACAUUUUUUUAAAUAACAAAAUGAUAAUUUAAAUAUUUCUUGAAGAGGUAGGUCUUUAGUCAUCGUUUGAAGACAGCCAGUGACUCAGCUUUUCGGGCAACUAGGGGAAGUUCAUUCCACCACCUAGGUGCCAGAACAGAGAAGAGCCUUGAUGCAUGCCUUCCUUGUACUUGGGAACUUGGGAGGGUUGAAAACAAGUCACGCAGCUGUAUUCUGGAUCAGUUUCAGAGGCUGAAUGGCAUGCAGAAGCAGACCUGCCAGGAGCGAGUUGCAGUAGUCCAGUCUCGAAAUGACAAGGGACUGAACAAGCAUUUCUGUUGCCUCUGUGGAUAGAAAUGGACGAUUCCUUCUGAUGUUGUAAAAGAGAAAUCGGCAUGAGCAUGGCCUGAAUCGCAGUUCUAUCAAACAGGCGAGCUUGGCAUUCCAGGGCUGCUUUGCGGGUGAAGGUGGUACAGCGGAGCCGGGAGAAACAGAGGAGCUGGAGCAGAAGUCAGUGUCAUCACUGAAGCUGCUCUCGCGGCUGCUGGAUUCAUUGUGUUGGACUGGAGCACUGUGGCACGGAGGCUCAGAGACCACCUCCAUAGAGUGGGACUUGUGGAAACGAGGCUUGUGGAUGGGGAAAUGUACUGUAUGUCGAUAUGUGGGACAUACAAGUCUGGACCCGCUGAGAUGACCUGGGCAUUGAAGGAGUUAAUGGUUUAACAGCGUUUCCCUAUUCCGAACAACAGGAAACACAACGUCGUCUCACUAUCAGAGAGAGUUCCAGAUAGAACCCCUUUGGUAAACAAAGAACCCUGAGAAUACUAGAGGAACCUUUUUUCACCAGAAACUGUAUCCUGUGUAGUAGUUACAUUUUAGCACUGUGCUAUAACAUAAUCCUUAUUCCAGUGGUAUAACAUCUAUAGAUAGACUGAUAGACUGAGUUACCUAGCAAGCCACCAG